rnacentral:ncRNA from 1 species
GGCUAGGGGUGCAAAAUGCUGAGAUGUCUUUAAGGCAAACCCUUUAAACUUGAUGCGGAUAAAACCGACGUAAGGAAGCAAGAA